UCUUUUUGUUUAAAAUUUAAAGUCUCGCCUGCCCAAUGAAUUUUGAAUGGCCGCGGUAUUUUGACCGUGCUAAGGUAGCAUAAUCAUUAGUUUUUUAAUUGAUAACUGGAAUGAAGGGUUGGAUGAAAAAAUAGCUGUCUCUAAAUAAUUUAAUUAGAAUUUUAUUUUUAAGUUAAAAAGCUUAAAUAUUUUUAAAAGACGAGAAGACCCUAUAGAGUUUAAUUUUUAAAUUUUAUAUAAAUUUUAGAAAUUUAAAUUUUAUUUUAAAUUUAAAAAUUUAAUUGGGGUGAUUGAAAAAUUUAAUAAACUUUUUUUAUUAAAAAAUUAUAAAUUUAUAAAUAAAUGAUCCAUAAAUUAUGAUUAUAAGACUAAAUUACCUUAGGGAUAACAGCGUAAUUUUACUUUAGAGUUCAAAUUAAAAGUAAAGAUUGCGACCUCGAUGUUGGAUUAAAA
rnacentral:rRNA from 1 species